CCACUGCGGGGGAAGGGGGGGGGGAAAUCCGGGGGGGGCGAGUGUUGUGCGGAGUCGUUGGGGGUGAAGGUCUGGUGGGCGGUUUGGAAAGGCGGGGUUGAAAUCUCCGGGCUCAACUCGGAGGGGCCACUCGAUACUGCUAUGACUAGAGUCCGGUAGGGGACUAUGGAAUUCCUGGUGUAGCGGUGAAAUGCGCAGAUAUCAGGAGGAACACCGGUGGCGAAGGCGGUAGUCUGGGCCGGUACUGACGCUGAGGAGCGAAAGCGUGGGGAGCGAACAGGAUUUGAUACCCCGGUAGUC
rnacentral:rRNA from 1 species